UCCGUGCAAUUCUUCACUCGGCAACCUCCCUUCCUUCAGCCUUUCUCCAUUUCCACAAAAAGGGUUUUCAUAUCUUCUAUGCCAACGAAAACGGUGUCGCUAAUAUGAUAACAGGCUGAAGAAAUGGCGAUUGAAAACGGAGAGUUCGAGGA